AGCGAACGUUUGCGGCGGGCCUAACACAUGCAAGUCGAACGCACUAGCAAUAGUGAGUGGCGCACGGGUGCGUAACACGUGGGUAAUCAACCCUUCAGCUUGGGAUAACGACUUGAAAGGGUCGCUAAUACCGGAUACGGCGCGGGAGGCUUCGGCUUCUCACGAGAAAGCCUCGCAAGGGGUACUGAAGGACGAGCCUGCGGCCCAUCAGCUAGUUGGUGAGGUAAGAGCUCACCAAGGCUAAGACGGGUAGCUGGUCUGAGAGGAUGAUCAGCCACACUGGAACUGAGACACGGUCCAGACUCCUACGGGAGGCAGCAGUGGGGAAUAUUGCGCAAUGGGCGAAAGCCUGACGCAGCCACGCCGCGUGAGCGAUGAAGGCCUCGGUCGUAAGACGUCUGUGGGAGGAGACGAAG
rnacentral:rRNA from 1 species